UCCAGGGUUUAACAAUGCAUUAACAUGAAGAUAAAAGACUUGAAAUGUACUCGUAACCACAUCAUAAGAACUUUCCUGAUUAUGUCGAGUCUGGGGGGCGCAUAGUCUAUUCUGAUAUUGCCCACUGGCAGUACUAGAGGUGGCACCCUACUGAUUCAGGAGACCUGUUAGAUCUGAUGAAAAGUUAGACUGACCUUGAUGAGGCAAAUCCUUUCCCUUCUGAGCAACCACUAGACACUCCUGAGUCCUGUGGCCUGAUUUUGCACACCUAAAACACCUAUCACAACCAUAUCUAUACUCACCCUGAUGAUUCUUACCAUACUUUCUACAAAGAGGAUUGGUACAACCACUAUUCACCCUCUCUGGGACUUAGAGCCUAGCGCUCUAUCCUGACUGUCCUGCCAAAACUUAGG
rnacentral:lncRNA from 1 species